AUCUACGGCCAUGCCACCCUGAGCAAGCCCGAUGCCAUCUGAUCUCAGAAGCUAAGCAGGGUCAGUUCUGGUUAGUACUUGGAUGGGAGACCACCUAGGAAGACCAGAUGCUAUAGGCG
rnacentral:rRNA from 1 species